CGCGGCGGUCCCGGCAGGGCGGGCAGCCUCUGCCCCGCGCCCAUCGCCAUCCCUCGGACGUGGGCCGGGGUCCCCCGGGCAGAGCAGCCCUCUCCCGGCCCCGGGCUCCUCCCGUGCGUGUCUCAAUUCACUCAGGCUUGACUUGGCAAUAAGCUCUCUCAAUAAGGUGACAAUAGAGCCCCAGUGGGACCCGAACAAAGAAUUUGAAAGUAGUUAAAUUGCAGGACACGUCCAUCGCCUGGGUGCUUGAAUUAAAGAAAAAGGGAGGGAAAAAAAAAAUCGGAGAAAAGAAAAAGGAGAGAGACUUUUCUUUGGGCUGGAACGCGCCCGGGGACCGCAGCGCCUUCAGCUCCCGGAGCCGCGGGCACCGCUCGGGUGAAUCGGGGAUGAAACGUGGGAGAAAUGCGGGAGGGGAGGCGAGAAAAGGUCGGGAGCGAAGUGAGGCUGUGAGAGCGGAGGGGGAUUUGUGAAAUAGAUAGAUAUGUGGAUAAUCAUUUUUCUCUUUCCUCGCUCUGCAAAAGCUGCAGGCGAAACGCUAAAUGUAUAAUUGUGUAAAGGGGAAUAUAAGGAUGAGAAAAAUGGAGGGGGAGCGGAGGAAGGAAGAGAGGGAAGGAGAGAAAGGCACGCGGCACCGCCGUGCUCGUGUCCUGAGUUCGGCCGGAGCUCACGGGCGGGAUGCUGCGGGCACAGCACGGCACGGCCCGGCCCGGCCUGACCGUCGGGGCGGCACGGACGGCACGGCCCGGUAUCGCACGGCCCGGCCCGGCCCGGCCCGCUGGAGGGACCCUCUGCCUCUUUCUCCCUUUCUGCCGCCGCCCCCCACGGAAAGCUCGUGGUCCUGCUCUGCCCGACGGCUGCGGUGCCGCACCGCACCGUGCCGUGCCGAGCUGAGCUGUGCUGGGCUGGGCUGUGCUGGGCUAUGCUGGGCUGUGCUGUGCUGUGCUGUGCUGUGCUGGGCUGUGCUGGGCUGUGCUGUGCUGUGCUGUGCUGUGCCGGGCCGUGCAGUGCCGGGCCGUGCCGUGCCGCUCCGGGGAGCCUCGCGGACUUUCAGCACUUGGACAGCGGUGCGGGAGCCGGGCCGUGCCGGGCUGUGCCGGGAGGGUCGGGGGGAGCGCACGCAGUGAUGCUCCGUACGGCGGAGGCAAUGGGGAGGCGGCGUUCCUUCCUGAACGCCGGGCGUGGGGACACGGCCGAGGGGGCUCCGGGGAGCACCCCUGGAGGGGUACCUCGCCCCGACCCCCCCGCAGCUGGAAGAAAGCUCCGGGAGGCGCAGCCGUGCCCCGGCGGUGCGCCGCGGCCCCGCAGAGGGCACGGGGCCCCGAGGGGGCGGCAGAGGGCGGCUCGAUGGGGUGUGGGGGGAGAGCCCCCUUUCCCCCAUCUUCGGGGGGUAAUUAGGGGUGACACGGAGGGGCUGCGGUUUCUGCUCGGUGGAGCUGCCGGCGACCAACCCCCGCCGCCGCCGCCUUCCUCCCGUCCUCCUCCUCUCACCCUCCCUCCUUCCCUCCCCCCGCCUUCUCCCCUCCCCCUCUCCCUCCUCCUCCUCUCCGCCAUGGUUGGAGUGAAUCGGAGGCUGCCGGGCUGACGUCAGUGCGGGCAGAGCCUGCCGCCGGCGGCAGCUCCUGGACACCGACCAGAACCGGCACCGGCAGCAGCCGGCAGGACGCGAAGAGCCCGGGCACCGCCGCCCCCCGCACCGGGGGUACCGGGGGCGCCGGGGGCAGAGCCCUGCCCGCCCCGCCGCUCUCCCUCCGGGAAGGGCGGCCCCCGCCGCCCGCUUCGCCCACGGACGGCCCCGUCGCUGCCCUCGCCUCGGCUGCAAGCCCGGAUGGCUCCUGAAUGUCCCCGCCGGCCGGACGAAGCGGCGUGCAGCGGGCGGAACGCCCGACCGAGGCCGAGCCUCGCGGCGCAUCCCGGCGUUAGGCCCCGGGUGAGACCCCGCGCUCCGGGAUUUUUCCUUCGGACGCAGCGAGGGCUGCUGCGGGGCAUCGCUCCGUGGGGUGGGGGACGCCGCGACACCGCGCCCCCCCCUCGGGUUCAGCUCCGAGGACAGCGCCGGGGUCGCCGCUGCCCAUAACGCGAUCUGUCGGCAGCCUCUGCUGAGGGAGGAUUUUUUAUUUCACGUUUGCUUCUCUCUGUACCUUCGCUGCAUUUCCACCCCCCUUUCUUCCCCUUUUUUUCCCCUCUUUUUUAAAAUCUUUAUUUAUAAUUUAUUUUAUUUCUUUUUUAAUUCCCUUCCAUGUUUUUCUCCCAUUCAUUCUCUGCUCUCCCCUUCCUGCGGACGUUUAUUUCCUUGCUGCUUUCUUUUCUUUCUUUCUUUCUUUUUCCUCUUUUUCCCCCCCGUGUCUCCCUGGAAGUAAAACGCAUUUUAGGCCUCAGCCUUACGGAAAGCCGACCCGUAGCAGUUCAGGUGCAUUGGCAGCGCGCACCGCCCGGACCUCCCCCGCAGCCCCUCGACGUGCGCCCGCCCCACAGAACGAGGAGGGUCCGGGGCCGUCCCGCCCUCAGUCCCGGCCCCCGACGGCCGCAGGAAGGAGCGGCCGGGCUGUGGGACCCUUCGGCCGAGCCUUUCCGGCGCCGUGGCACGCUUAGACGCGGCUUUUAAUUGCAAAACAAAGCAACGCGUUUCCCGAACGCCCGUCGGGAGCCGCCGCUCCCGUGAGUUGGCGAAGCCCCGAUUGUUGGAGGAAAAGCGACAAACAAUUAAGACACGAUGCAGCUCGGGGCGGCGAGGCGCGGGGGUUACUCUAGGUUGGCUAAAAAUAACUUCUCCUAAUUAAAGAAAAGUGACGUCAGACGUGCAGGACGUAGAAGAGGGGAAGGCAGCGGACUCGGCGCGGGGCGAUCACGUUCGAUAAUUCAGGGGAACGGGCACCGGGGCCGCUCCGAGGCGCGGGCGGAGAGCGGCUCCCCGUGCCCGGCUCCGGCUGCGGGACGGCUGAGGCGGGCGGCGUCGCUCCCCCGGGGAAGGGAGCGGAGCGAAGCCGAGCCGCGGUGCGGAGCUCAGCGCUGCAGGCGGGGCCCGGAGCGCGGAGGCAACGCGGGCGCGGAGCGGCGGCAGUGCAGCACCAUGGCCAGAGCCGCGCCCGCCCCGUCGGGGCUGAGGUCGGGCCGGACCUCUCCGCGCAGCGCCGGGGAACGGCUGGGAGAGAACCCUCUGAACCUCCGCCCGGCGAUGGGGAGACGUCCCCGCUUUUUCUCGGAGAUAUCGGGCUGUAGCCGAGGAAUCGCGAUGGCUUUUUUUUUUUUUUUUUUUCCUGUUUAUUCUUUUUCCCCGGCUCUGCGCGUGCAUGCGGGGGAAGCGCAGUCCCCGUGUCCCCACGUCUGUCCCCGUGUCCCGCCGUGCCUGCAGGUGCGGGGGCUGCGGGCCGUCUCCGGGCUCUGCCCGCUGUGCCUCGCUCGGUGCCAAGGAGCCAUUUUGUGCUCUUAAAUUGCGCCCGAAAUAAAUAAAUAAAAUCAAUAAGAAAAUAAUAAUAAUAAUAAUAAUAAUUAAUAAUAAUAAUAAAAUUCCAACCCGACGUUUAAGCGACGCCGAAAACCUCUCAAACGCAGACAGCGAUUUUUCUCCUGGGCCUCUGCCUGCACGGAGCGGGCCGAGGCGGGCGCUCGCAGCCGAGCGAGGCGUUACCGAACGAAGCGGGAAUAAAUAUAUGGAGAUAUCCGCGCUUCCGCGAGGAUAAAUCGCGUCCUUCACCCGGCGGAGAGGGAGCCGCGCUCCCCGGCCUCGGCGCGGUGCCUUCAGCCGAGCGCUGCCGCGGCCUCGGAGCGGGGACGGCGGGGACGAACGGGGCCG
ensembl:lncRNA